rnacentral:tRNA from 1 species
UAUUAAUUACUUUGGCAGAAUAGUGUAAUGAAUUUAGAAUUCAUAAAUGUAAUAUAAAUUUACAAGUAAUA